UACGUAGGGGACGAGCGUUGUCCGGAAUUACUGGGCGUAAAGGGCGCGCAGGCUGUGCUGCAAGUCAGCUGUGAAAUAUCUGGGCUUAACCUGGAUAUGCGGUUGAGACUGCAGUGCUGGAGUGCUGUAGAGGCAAGUGGAAUUCCCAGUGUAGCGGUGAAAUGCGUAGAUAUUGGGAAGAACACCGGUGGCGAAGGCGACUUGCUGGGCAGCAACUGACGCUGAGGCGCGAAAGCCAGGGGAGCAAACGGGAUUAGAUACCCCCGUAGUCC
rnacentral:rRNA from 1 species